rnacentral:rRNA from 2 species
GUGCGAGACCGAUAGCGAACAAGUACCGUGAGGAAAAGAUGAAAAGAACUUUGAAAAGAGAGUUAAAGAGUACCUGAAACUGCUGAAAGGGAACCGAAUCGUAUCCAGUGUCUAUAAUCCAUGGCGUAUUUCAUUGGCGAGUGAGUGCGUGCAGCGUUUUGGAAGUGGUUUUCCGCUCCUGUCGUUGUUGUGCAUUUGCUUGCUGGUGCCCUGUGCUGUGGUGGGACGUCAGAGUCAGUUUGUGUGUCGCGGGAAAUGGUUAUUGGGGAGGUAGGUCGCUUCGGUGGCUAUUAUAUCCUGGUAACUAGUCGUCGUGGCUGAGACUGAGGUGCCUACAAUGUGCUUUCGAGUGUGCGGGUUUCUCGUGUGGCUGUUUGCUUUGAUAGCUUGCUAUGUUGGUGAAUAAGUUGUGCGAUUGAGACCUGUAUUAACUUGUUGCUGUUCGGGACUUUG